rnacentral:tRNA from 1 species
GCCGAGGUGGCGGAAUUGGUAGACGCAAGGGACUUAAAAUCCCUCGGGCACCCUUGCCCAUACCGGUUCGAUUCCGGUCCUCGGCACCA